CUUUAUUUAGUCUAUAACAUCAGGGGUCUCCAAACUUUUGUUGUUGGAUCAGUCUAAAAUGAGUGUAGGUCAUCCUUAUCGGCCUGUUAUGCUAGGACUAAAGGACCAACAAAUUGGUUCUUCAAUACGACUGAUGAAUGGUAAAAUCAGACGAAUUGAUUAGGAAUACAGUCCUAGGACUGAUCCAAUACUGUUGAUGACGCAAUGGUCAUACUUUAAAUACUAUAAGGCCGUCGACAUUUGGGCAUCCAUAGUCCUCCCAAGUAUUUUCAAGGUAAUAUAUUUUUGAAGUUUAUACUAUAUGUACUUAUUAGAAAAGUUAAUAUAUUCCUCCCCGUAUGACAUAAGCACAGAUGCAUUCAACAUCAGUCUUUCAAUUAUUUUGCACAGAAGACAUUUCUAAAAAUUAAAUAUAUUUCUACAUAAUAAAUGGUCCGGUGGUUGGGCAUCCCAGAUCUGCAUAAUAAUAUGUUAGUUGACUUGUAUAUAAUAAGUAUAUAUGGGGGGGGGCGACUUAUCAUCUUCUUCUGUCCAGAAAUGUCCUCUUUUUACUGUUUGAGGAUUUUUCUAUAAAUUUAUGAAAUGUCCAGGUUUCUUUGGAAUAAAAAAAAAGAGUUGACCAUCGACUAAAAAUAGUGGUUUAAUUGAAAAUAAAGAAAGAAAAAAAAUAAUAAUAUGGGAAUACCUUUUCUUACGAGUACUUCGAUAUACGAGCUGGGAAAUGAGUCUAAUUUUACCUCUAGAUAAGAGUAUUUACUUACUGUUGUAACACUUCCUCUACGCUUCUAGGUAGCUCAAUCUUAGACCAAGGACUUCAUAAGAAGCUUAUUCAUAUGACCAUAGUUGUGGAACGAAUUAAACUUGUUAGUAGAGGUAUGAGAGUAAAUCUAUUAAUUUUUAUUUUAUCCUUAAGUUUGUUCAUUUCUAAAAUAUUGACUCUGAACUCUCCCUCCUAAUUCAGUCGUUAUUAAUAAUAUGUUAAAUAACCACGUGUUAAAGAACCAAUCGUUCCCUUUUGCUCUCAUUUGUCCUCUUUUGAACUCUUGUCCGAGUACUUUAUUUACAUUUCUAAAAAUGUCUGAAAUAUUUCAUGUUGAAAAUUGAUUUUAAGUUUUUUUUAUAAACAAGCAUGAAUCAAUAUUUGAUCCCCACUUCAAAUCGACAUUUAAUUAUUGGUGUAUAUUAUGUUAUCUUUUUGAAAAUUUGCAUAUUAUGGCAGUACGUACAUUUUGCAUGGAAAAGAGAAAGUAAGGGAGUUCUUGUUGCGCUUGCUAACACUUUUUAGUUGAUAAAAAUAAGUCCCCUUGAGAGCAACUCUUCUCUAAGAUCGAUAUAUCUAUGUUGUGUACAAGUUGGGAUGUAUGUAUGAGUUGCAAGUUGUAUAAGAAAAUUGUACAAAUGACAAUUCCUUCGUCUUGGGAUACAUUAUUUAAUUACAAUAUUGAUCAUUUUAAUACCCAUUUAAUACCAUUCAUACUACUAUUUCAUUUUGAUCUAUUAAAAUUACAUUAUCAUUAUGUGUAAUAUGGACAUUUGAACUAUAUAAUGUGGCACAGAAUACUUAUAUUUUAGUAAAUUUUAGUAAUGGCACUUUAUAGAUACAAUUGCUAAUAUAUAAUAAUUAAUCAAUUGAUUUCAAAAUUUCUUACUGUUCACCUUCGAGUAUUGCAAAUGUAUUAUCUUACUACUUAUUUAGUAUUGAAGACUCCAGUCUUGGCCCGGUUCAGUUAAGUCCUGAAUAUCAGUCCUAAAAACCAAUUAAGUUCGGUUCUUGAUGACGUCAAUCAACUUUUUUUUUUUUAAAUGUUCUCUUAAUUGGUUAGAUGGAGUUGCACUGAUUAAGUAUAAAUAAACCUUAUUAUAUAGUAUUACAAUUACUCUAAAUAACCUAGGAAUAAA
rnacentral:lncRNA from 1 species